UGUCAAUUUUAAUACGCGGUAAUAUUUAAUUUGUUGAGGUAAAAAAGAGGGAGAAGUUUUUAUUUGAUUAAAAAAAAAAAAAAUCGUGGGAUAUAAAUAUAUAAAAUAGGUAAAUUGAUAUUGGAGUCAAAGUGGAACAUCAAAUGAAUUUUGUGCUUGUCGCGAGGUGGCAACAGUAUACUUUCGCAUGUUUGUUUUUAUUUUUUUGCUUUUUAUUGUUGUUAUUAUUAUUCUCCACCAUGUCUCCCACUUGAUGAUAAUAUUUUCCCCUUUAUCCGCCAUGAAAAUAUGAGACAUUCUGCG